rnacentral:rRNA from 1 species
CCCGGCGCGGCUAACAUGCAGUGGAGCGACGAACAGGCUUCGGCCUGGGGCCAAGCCGCGAACGGGUGAGUAACACGUGGGCAACCUGCCCCGAAGACCGGGACAACCCGAGGAAACUCGGGCUAAUACCGGAUGUGCUCGUCCCACACAAGUGGGACGCGUAAAGGAAGCUUCGGCCUCCGCUUCGGGAGGGGCCCGCGGCCCAUUAGCUUGUUGGUGAGGUAACGGCUCACCAAGGCCGCGAUGGGUAGCUGGUCUGAGAGGACGAUCAGCCACACUGGGACUGAGACACGGCCCAGACUCCUACGGGAGGCGGCAGUGGGGAAUCUUGCGCAAUGCGCGAAAGCGUGACGCAGCAACGCCGCGUGGGGGAAGAAGGCCUUCGGGUUGUAAACCCCUUUCAGUUGGGACGAAGCCUCGUCCGUUAACAGCGGUGCGAGGUGACGGUACCUUCACAAGAAGCCCCGGCUAACUACGUGCCAGCAGCCGCGGUAAUACGUAGGGGGCAAGCGUUGUCCGGAAUCAUUGGGCGUAAAGAGCGCGUAGGCGGCCCGGUAAGUCCGCUGUAAAAGUCAAGGGCUCAACCCUUGAAAGCCGGUGGAUACUGUCGGGCUAGAGUCCGGAAGAGGCGAGUGGAAUUCCUGGUGUAGCGGUGAAAUGCGCAGAUAUCAGGAGGAACACCGAUGGCGAAGGCAGCUCGCUGGGACGGUACUGACGCUGAGGCGCGAAAGCGUGGGGAGCGAACAGGAUUAGAUACCCUGGUAGUCCACGCCGUANACGAUGGGCACUAGGUGUGGGAGGUGUCGACUCCUCCCGUGCCGCAGCUAACGCACUAAGUGCCCCGCCUGGGGAG